rnacentral:lncRNA from 1 species
AUGACUGCCUUCGUUCGCUCCCUCCUCCGCCCGGCCCCGCUGGGGUCGCGACGCGCCAGCAGGGCCGCGCCUGCGAGGUCCGGCCCCAGCGCGGGCCCCGCGCCUCCGCCUGCCCGCGCCCGGCAGGCUGCAGCCGCCUCCACCGGCCCGGUUCCUCGAGGCGGGCCUCUGCCGGGGGACUGCGGGCCUCCGGCUUCCGGCCCCGCUUCUCCGGGCCAGAGCGCCGCUCCACCUGGCAACCGGGAGCGAGAGGUGCGCGCCGAGGCCCAGAGCACGAGGACGAAGCUCCAGGUUUCUCAAAAUAAAAGGCCCGCUUGGUCGUGGAAAGGCAGAAGGAAGCUUCGGGAAAGACGCAGAGAUGGUCACGUAAUUGGGAAAACACUAAUUACUUUUCACGGAUCUGCAAUAUGCCCACUGUGUCAUCUAUGACAAAACUUCUGUAAGACUUUGGAGGUUCAUAACACAUAAUUUUGAGAACGUGUCCAAGCCUACAGGUGGUGGUUUCAGGCAGAAGAGGAGCUUCCAAGUUGAGAGUAGUAAACUGAACUGAGAUUUACCACCUUGCUGGUCAUAAUGCCAAGGGUGAUGCUUCCUGGGAUUAAAGGAGUGUGUUCACUGACCCUUCCAGGAUAUCCAGUCUUCAAUGGAGCUUUGUAAAAGAAUGUUCGCAGUCCCUCUGUUGCUAUGAAAAGACAUAUUCCAAUGUUGCAUGUUUUACUUAUUGGCCCUGACACCUUUAUUGUUCAUACAAGCACUCUAUAUUUAUGAAUACAAAUAGUUUACAAGCAGGCUAUUGAUUGGAUAAAACAACUUUUCAUAUCUGGAGUUGUAAACACUACAAUCUAAAGCCUUGAUUCAAAAGAGGAGACAGGUAGAGGAUAACCCCAAGAGCAGCCAGAAUUCUGGAGACAGCCAACUGAGGUGGAAAAGAGCAAAAGGAGGAGGAAAUGAGGGUGACAGGAAAUAAAGAGAAGGUAAAGACAAGGGCUGUGAAGAGA